AUGCAUAUAAAAGACAUUUGGCGCGAAGUAUGCAUCAAGGUAUCUCAAAAAGAAUUACGGUGUUGGGCAUCACGGAAGGAAGAACAUGAUCAGUUUGGUGCUUCAGCGGAGGGGAAGAGCAGGACGUGGAACACGGAGCUGCGACGGAGAGUGGAUCGGACGUCGAUCCUCAAAGGAUGGGCGUCUUUCGCCCGUGGUAACCGCCUGCGGGAGGGUGACCUCUGCCUCUUCAAGCUAACGGAGAGCGUGGAGCCGCUGAAGAUGAUGGUGUACAUCAUUCGCCGUGAGAAGUGCUUAGCUUGA
rnacentral:rRNA from 1 species